rnacentral:rRNA from 1 species
CUAUGGGGCGCAGCAGGCGCGAAACCUCUGCAAUAGGCGAAAGCCUGACAGGGUUACUCUGAGUGAUUUCCGCUAAGGGGAUCUUUUGGCACCUCUAAAAAUGGUGCAGAAUAAGGGGUGGGCAAGUCUGGUGUCAGCCGCCGCGGUAAUACCAGCACCCCGAGUGGUCGGGACGAUUAUUGGGCCUAAAGCAUCCGUAGCCGGUUCUGCAAGUCCUCCGUUAAAUCCAGCCGCUCAACGGAUGGGCCGCGGAGGAUACUAUGGGACUAGGAGGCGGGAGAGGCAAGCGGUACUCAGUGGGUAGGGGUAAAAUCCUUUGAUCCAUUGAAGACCACCAGUGGCGAAGGCGGCUUGCCAGAACGCGCUCGACGGUGAGGGAUGAAAGCUGGGGGAGCAAACCGGGAUUAGAUACCCGGGUAGUCCCAGCUGUAAACGAUGCAGACUCGGUGAUGGGCUAGCCUUGUGCCAGCCCAGUGCGCAGGGAAGCCGUUAAGUCUGCCGCCUGGGAGUCGGUUGCAAGACUGAAACUAAA